CAAAAACACAGCCAUCAUAUCUCUCAUUCAUCUUAACAAUACACAUACAACAUCCUGUCUGUGCCUCUCGAGUUCAACAUCACACACACACACACACACACCUUGCAGCCACUACCUACACCCGUCUCCCUUUCCAUCGACGGUUGCCGGAGCCGGAUUUACGGCCGCGUGCACACCACAACCACCCCGGCAUCUCUCACUGCUCUCCCUCCCCCGGUGGCCGGCGAUGACUGAACGACGGCGCCGCCACUCACGGUGGCGGCGGUGGUGAACUUUGACAGCGGAACCCCCCCCCCCAAACCGAUGUUUCCGAACACGAUUCAGGCCUCCAAUGUCCGUUUUGAAUAACCUGGGUAGCUGAUUAGAAUUCGGCAGCUGUGAUGCCUCCGUGGUGUUGAAGAGUAUGAAGACGAGUUGAGAUUGAUGAUGAUGACAGUGGUUAUCGUCUGGAUUACGGCGACGGUUCGCCGGUGGCGGUGUGCAGCAGAGUUCCGUCAAAUAGGUUAGUGAGGAUGGUGAUGGUGAUGGUGAUGAUGAUCGAUGAUUCUGUUGAUGUUGACGGUACGUCCGUCACCGGAGCCACACCAGCGACGACAAACGAUUAAGGCAGUGAUGUUUACGAGUCAAGUCAGUGAUGCGGGUCAACUCCUUGUUCGGUCAACACUCGGCUUCAGGUCAACAUUAGUCAACAGAAGACUCACUCGGACAGUUUUGAUAUUCGGCUCAGAUUAUGCGCGGGUCAAAGUUUCGGGUCUCGGUCAAAGAUGGUCAAUAGGUCAGCCGGCUAACUCGGGUCAACUCAGUUAGGGCCCGGGUCAACUCGGUCAACACCCGAGUCAACUCGAGUAAAAAACGGUCAAACAUGUCAUCGACGAUCAAACCAAGACCCGGUAACAACUUAAACGUAGCGAAUUACUAUUGUUACGUUAGUUUAAAUUUUAGAUAGUUACGCGACCGAGCUCGACCCGAAUUGA